UACGUAGGUGACCAGCGUUGUCCGGAUUUACUGGGCGUAAAGAGCGCGCAGGCGGUCGUUCAAGUCGAGUGUGAAAGCCCCCGGCUCAACUGGGGAGGGUCAUUCGAUACUGAUCGACUCGAAGGCAGGAGAGGGAAGUGGAAUUCCCGGUGUAGUGGUGAAAUGCGUAGAUAUCGGGAGGAACACCAGUGGCGAAGGCGACUUCCUGGCCUGUUCUUGACGCUGAGGAGCGAAAGCGUGGGGAGCGAACAGG
rnacentral:rRNA from 1 species